AGAGUUUGAUCCUGGCUCAGAUUGAACGCUGGCGGCAGGCCUAACACAUGCAAGUCGAGCGGUAGAGAGAAGCUUGCUUCUCUUGAGAGCGGCGGACGGGUGAGUAAUGCCUAGGAAUCUGCCUGGUAGUGGGGGAUAACGUUCGGAAACGGACGCUAAUACCGCAUACGUCCUACGGGAGAAAGCAGGGGACCUUCGGGCCUUGCGCUAUCAGAUGAGCCUAGGUCGGAUUAGCUAGUUGGUGGGGUAAUGGCUCACCAAGGCGACGAUCCGUAACUGGUCUGAGAGGAUGAUCAGUCACACUGGAACUGAGACACGGUCCAGACUCCUACGGGAGGCAGCAGUGGGGAAUAUUGGACAAUGGGCGAAAGCCUGAUCCAGCCAUGCCGCGUGUGUGAAGAAGGUCUUCGGAUUGUAAAGCACUUUAAGUUGGGAGGAAGGGUUGUAGAUUAAUACUCUGCAAUUUUGACGUUACCGACAGAAUAAGCACCGGCUAACUCUGUGCCAGCAGCCGCGGUAAUACAGAGGGUGCAAGCGUUAAUCGGAAUUACUGGGCGUAAAGCGCGCGUAGGUGGUUUGUUAAGUUGGAUGUGAAAUCCCCGGGCUCAACCUGGGAACUGCAUUCAAAACUGACUGACUAGAGUAUGGUAGAGGGUGGUGGAAUUUCCUGUGUAGCGGUGAAAUGCGUAGAUAUAGGAAGGAACACCAGUGGCGAAGGCGACCACCUGGACUAAUACUGACACUGAGGUGCGAAAGCGUGGGGAGCAAACAGGAUUAGAUACCCUGGUAGUCCACGCCGUAAACGAUGUCAACUAGCCGUUGGAAGCCUUGAGCUUUUAGUGGCGCAGCUAACGCAUUAAGUUGACCGCCUGGGGAGUACGGCCGCAAGGUUAAAACUCAAAUGAAUGACGA
rnacentral:rRNA from 1 species